CCCCCUCCGCCCUCUCCUAGCGCCGCGGAGAGUGCGCGGCGGAGAGGAGCGGGGAGUGAGAGAGGGCGGGGAGGCGGCGCUGCUUUUAUAUGGAGACUAGGCAGGGAGCCGGGGAGGAGGAGGAAGAGGAGGAGGAAAGGACCACCCGGCACAUCCUCACGCGGUGGCUGCCUCCGCUCUUCCAGCCGUUGGCCCGAGGCUGAUGUCAUCUGCAGCAAAUCAUCUCGCCGGCGGCCCGGAAGCUGGAGGGAAGAGGUGUGCGGACAAUGGUCGGGGCAGGGCCGCGAGCCAAGGGGCUUGGGAGCCCGCUGAGCUCCUGCUGCAGCCUCGAAGGGGGAAGACGCUCUCAACCUACACCACCCACCACGUACACACCCACUGCCCACUCCUCACCCUCACCCUGUCUGUGCAUGGGACUGGAAUGAGUUUCCAUUUUCAUAGUGGGGUCUUUCUGUUAUCCGAGUUGCACUAGUCAGGCCUCUGGUUUGUGUGCCGUCUAUGAUGUAGCCAGGUUCUCAGGAACUGGGAUAGCCACAGUGGGCACAUGCGGGGCUGUGGGUACCCCGCCUAGGAAGGUGGAACCUGUCUUUUCUUUGACCUUGUGGUUUUAAGAAGACAAUUUACUGAUAUUUACCAAUGUCAGUAUUUACUACCUUCACUUAAAGAAUACAUCAAAAAUGCAAAACUUAAGCCUACUAUUGUUCAGGCCUUGGAUUCUACUCUGGCAGGGCCAAGGGUGAAAAAGUACUGGCUCAUGGUGCUCAUGGGAAAUGAGAGAAAUGUAGAUGUAUUAUAUUAGAUACUGAUUUCUUUCCUUAAUAUGCUGAACAGAUAGUAUCAGUAAUAACAAAGAAUAAAAAGAAGAUACUGUCUCUACCCAGCAGGGUUACCGUGACUAUAAUGUACUUUUCAGUUCCUUGGGGAACACACAAGCAAAAUUAUCUCAAGUGACAAUGAUGUCUUUUAAAAUAUAUGUAGCAUUGGGAAUUUUUAUUGCCUUUGUUUAUGUUUAUAAGAACUCAUAAAAAUGUGUUUUUUUGUUUUGUUUUGUUUUUUUAAGGCAGCCUAUUUACAACCAUUUCUCACAAACAUACUGAAUAUAGCUUCUGUCCCAGAAAAGGGGAGGACGGUGAGGAAAGAGCAAAAUGUGCAAACAUGGUAUCAUCAUAGAAGUCUGGGGAAUUCGAGCUUUAAGGAAGAGGGAUAGAUGGAAAUUAGUCAACAUAGCUUUAAUACUAGAAUGCCUGUUACUAAAAGAUAGAUAGAUAGAUAGAUAGAUAGAUAGAUAGAUAGAUAGAUAGAUAGUCACCUAGAUAUUCUUAAGAUUUCCAAAAUAACCCAGUGACUUAGGUGUUAGCUGCCAUGACGUAUUGGUUAUGUACUCUUUGCUCUUACAUCUUUCCUGACACCCUGGCAUGGGAAACAUGCUGGGCAACCAAGGGCUGGGGGGUCCCAUCCAACAUGUCAAUCUGAUCAAUGCAGAAUAAAAAUACCGUCUGGCCCGCAGUAUUUGAGGUCUGUGACAGGCUUAUAGAGAGUUGCAUUCACCAGUAACUAGAUGAAGUGUUUCCAGAUCAUAUUUUGGUUAAGAUAUUCAAUUGCUGUUCGAGAAAUAAGGCCGGCACCAAAGCCCAUCAUCGGGGUGAGGGGCAGGAAAUAUGGUGAAGAGCACUGUUUUCCAAAGGUCAUCCAUUGGAUUCCAGCCUCAUCUAGUUUGUUUGUUUUUCCUUUUUUUGAACCACUGUUACUUUUAUGUAUGUAAUAGUUUUCUUUUACUCAGUUAAUUUAUUUUACUUAAAUUUAUUUUUAAAUGCAAUUCUAUGUUGCUGUAUAAAUGGAAACACUAAUAUCACUUAUUAAUAGAAAGUAUCCCUAAAAAUAUACACAAUGAAGAUAAGAUGUGAUCAGAUUCCUGCUACAUACUGUUAUUAUUUGCUCAAGACUCUGAGUCCAAGGCUCUCCUUUCUUGGUUGAAAACAGAGAUUGGCCAAGUGUUAGAGAGGUGUUAAAGAGAUACUAACACCUGACUGAGUUGCUCUCCACGUUAUAACAGAAGGUUGGAUGAAAAUUAUAACAGAGCGCUUUCUUACUGUGUGUGUCUGUGCAAUUAAACACCAUAACCAUGACCACCUAAGUCAUCACCCACACUUUGGAAAAUAGAGGCAUAAUGGGAGAACACAGACUAGGGAUGCAGACUGCUCCUUUACAGCUCUGUAACUUUGGCAAGUGACUUUCUUUUUGAUCUUCCAUCUCCUUAUUUAGUGAGAAGAAUAACAUCUUUAUAAUUGUUUAAGUAACUGUAAGAAAGAAGGAAAUGAUAGAAUGUGUAAGCACCUAAUACAGUGGCUGGACAUAGUAAGCAGUCAAGGGAUGGUUGAUUAAUUGACCUGUUUUCUCCCAGUUACUAAGACAAUGGAGUAAAAGCAGUCUUACAAAAUGUGCAAGUGAUAUUGCUACAACACCUCUGAAACAAGAAUAGAAUAUUACAUUAUUAUACUUCAAUACUGGAAAAGUAGCCCCUUCUCCUCUUCAUCCCAAGAAAAUGUAUACAGUUCUAAGGAGGAGAAAGGGGGAAAACUAACAUAUAAGAGCCCCAAUAUUGCCAGCUGCUCAACUGACAUCACCUGGAUAUACCAAAGGCAUGUGAAUCUUGACAUGCUCCAAACCCAAAUCAUCUUUUCCCUCCAAACCUGGGACACUCUCACUCUUGUUAUUUCAAUGAACCAUAACACCAUGUAUCCCAUGAUGCAAGCCAAAACCUCACAAAUAUUUUGGACCGUCCCCUGACCCUUAGCUUCCUGUGCAAUCCAGCAUGGAGUCUGGUCAAUUUCACCUUCAGUACCUCUUCAAUCCAUCCACUUUUCUCCAUUAUCACCAACCUAGUCCAAGCUAGCAUCAUUGUGAUAGGUACUAGUGUACCAAUUAGAAAAUGGGUUCCAGAGUCAGACUGCCUGGUUUUGAACCCUAAUACCAUAAUUUAUUAACUGUGUGGCCUUAAGCAAGGUGCUUAACCACUCUAUACCUUGGUUUUCUCAUUUGUAUAAUAGAGUACCAACCUUAUGGACAGGAGGACAGUUUAAAUAUGUAAAUUACUUAAAACAGUGCCUUGUAUAUAAUGAGCACUAAAUAGGGGUUAGUUGUUUUUGGGUGUUAUUGUUUAACAUUUUACUAUGGAAAAUUUCAAACAGAGAGAUUAGAGAGAAUAAUAUAAGUAACCCCCACAUACGCAUUAUCCCCAAUCCAUAGAUUUUUAUAAUCUGCUUCUUUAAAUCAAGAUUGAAAUAAUAUCUAUAUAUUUCAACUGAUUGAUCAGUCUUAAACUCCUUUGAUCUAUGUAAUCCUACUAUUUUUUUCCUUGUAAUUUUCUGUUGAAUAGUGGCAACAUUGUUCAGCAGAGUUUCACAAAGCAUAAAUUUUGCUAAUUGCAUCCCCUGUUGUGUUAUUUAACAUGUUCUUCUAUCUUCUGAAUUUUCUGAUAGACUUAAAGGCUUUAUCAGAUGCAGAUUUGAUAUUUUUUACAAGUAUACUUCAUAGGUAAUAUUGUGGUUUUCCAUCAGAAGGCAGCUAAAGAAUGGUUAACCCUCAUUCUGUGAUUUUAGCAACUCUUAAUGAUCAUUACCUAGAUCCAUUAUUUCACUAUGGAUUGAAAAAAAUGAUAAUAUUCUAAUUUUGUUAUUAUUUAUUUGACAGCUAGAAGAGUUCUGUUAGGAGACGUGUUAUCCUGUCAGUUGAUCACCCUGAGGUACAGUAUGUACAGGAAAAGAAGGAUGAACGCAUGACUUUUUCUCUUUAUUUACUAACUUUCAAAAUAAUGAAUUUAUUCCAAAUCAUUCUCAAAAGGGUGACUAACUUUUUGUAUCAUUACAAAUAUAACUUACAUUAUUCAUAUUGAUGCUUUCAUUUUUUCAUCUUUGGCCAGUAGUAUGGUAAGGUAUCCCCACCUUACCUUGCACAUAUCUGGCCUCAGAACCUGGAAUUAGCAGUUUCUCUAUGGAAUCCAAGUUCCUUAAGUGGGUAAUGGUAUUUGGAGAUCCCUGUAUACCAGGUGUUACUACUAUUUUGAUCAUUGUGUCUAGACAUUUUCAGUGGACAGAAGUAUGAAAUAAAUUGUUUUUCAAAUAUGAAUUCAUACUUAUACCUCUAACUCAGUAUCAGGACUACAGGGAUUUUGUUUAAUGUUUUAUCUUGCAUCUGUAUUUCCUUUGUCCUAUGCCUAGAAUUCCAGUUUUCAAAGACUCCAAGGGCGACAGAAUUAGAACAGCAGGUGAAAAACUGACAUGGAGAAAAGUUAGACAAUUCCUCCAAAUCACAAAGAUAAUGCCUAGAUCUAGAAGCCAAACAGAUGGGUUGAAGGUGAUACCUAAUUUUAACAUUUGAUGACUCCUGCCAAAUUACCCUCUGAAAAGAAUUUAACAAUUUGUACUCCUGCCGCACCAUUGCCUCUUUCCUCACAUCAUAAGGUAAGCCUUCUUAUUUUUUACUCAUCAAAGUGAGAUAAAUAUUUACCGUUUAAAACUAAGCACCUUUUAAACUGCUUUUCUUUCUUUAUUGGUUUAACUCUUUAGGAUGUGUCUUUUUUCCUAUUGGACUAUUGUUUUUAUCUUUACUGGCUUUUAGAAGCUCUUUAUAUAAUCUGGAUAAUAAGCUUUUGUCAUCAAUAUAUGUUGCAGAUAUUACCUCUUAGUGUGUCAGAUUUUGUAUUUAUGUCUAUUUAUUAUGUCUGUGACCAUACAAAUGAUUACAUUUCUUAUAAGGUUAGACCAAGCUUCUUUCUUUAUGAGUUAAUGGGGGUUGUCUGUCUCAGAAAGGAUCUCUCAUCCCGAACCUUAAAACUAUUCUCCUAAUAAUUUUAGAUUUGUUCAAUUGAGAGAGUGCUUAACUCAGGAGAUCAAUAAAGGUUCAUAAAGGAAGAAAUACUUGAAAUUGUCCUGGAAGAACUAUAUUUUUCAACAGGCAGAGAUGGAGAAAGCACAAUCUACAUGAAGAGAACAGCAUGAGCAAAAAGAACCGGUUAGAGACCAUCCAUAGGAUAAAUUUCUACCAAAUUGCUGAGUCCAGGAUAUGCAUGUUUGUAAUUUUGGAAGAUCUUAAAAACUUGCCUCCCAUAGGUGUUGUACCAGUAUGUACUUCUGCCAGUACUAGAUGGGUGGGCUGCUGAUUCCUCAAAACGUAAGUAUUUUCAAACUUUUAAAUUUUAACCCAUUUAACGUAAUUUAAAAAUUAUGUCUCUGUGUGGUUUUAGUUCCAUUUCCCUUAUUAUAUGUAAGGCUGAACAUCUUGGCGUAUGUUUAAGGGCCAUCUGCAUUUCCUUUUCUGUGCACUGUCAGCUUAUAUGCUUUGCCCAUUUUUUCUAGUAGAGGGUUAGUGUUUUUCUUAUUGAUUUGUAUGUAUUCUGUAUUACUCCUUUAUCACACUGCUACAGAGAAAUGCCUGAGACUGUGUCAUUUAUAGAGAAAAGAGGUUUUAUUGGCUCACAGUUCCAGGCUGUACAGGAAGCAUGGCUGGGGAGGCCUCAGGAAACUUACAAUCAUGGAAGAAUGUGAAGGGGAAGCAGGCACAUCUACACAUGGGCAGAGCAGGAGGAAGAGAGAUAAGGAAGAGGUGCUACAUGCUUUUAAGCAACAAGAGCUCAUGAGAUCUCACUAUCGCGAGAAUAGCAAGGAAGAAAUCUGCCCCCAUGAUUCAGUCACCUCCGGCCAGACCCCUCCUCCAACAUUGGGGAUUACAAUUUGACAUGAGAUUGCUGGUGGGACACAAAUCCAAACCAUAU